CCCGCCCGGCUGCUCCAUGGCGCUGUGCGAGGCCGCGGGCUGCGGGAGUGCCCUGCUCUGGCCUCGCUUGUUGCUCUUCGGGGACUCCAUCACCCAGUUUUCCUUCCAGCAGGGUGGAUGGGGAGCAUCGCUGGCUGACAGGCUGGUCAGAAAAUGUGAUGUUCUGAAUCGUGGAUUUUCAGGUUACAAUACCAGGUGGGCCAAAAUUAUCCUUCCAAGAUUAAUCAGGAAAGGAAACAGUUUGGACAUCCCAGUAGCAGUUACAAUUUUCUUUGGGGCCAAUGACAGUGCACUAAAAGAUGAGAAUCCCAAGCAGCACAUUCCCCUGGAGGAGUACGCUGCGAACCUAAAGAGCAUGGUGCAGUACCUGAAGUCCGUGGACAUCCCUGAGAAUCGAGUCAUUCUCAUCACGCCGACCCCACUUUGUGAAACAGCCUGGGAAGAACAGUGCAUCAUACAAGGUUGCAAACUAAAUCGCCUGAACUCUGUUGUUGGUGAAUAUGCCAAUGCGUGUUUACAAGUGGCCCAAGACUGUGGGACUGACGUACUUGACCUGUGGACCCUGAUGCAGGACAGCCAGGACUUCUCAUCUUAUUUAUCAGAUGGACUACAUUUGUCUCCAAAGGGGAAUGAAUUUUUGUUCUCGCAUCUCUGGCCUUUGAUAGAGAAAAAGGUCUCUUCUCUACCUUUGCUGCUUCCUUACUGGCGGGAUGUAGCAGAAGCAAAACCUGAAUUAAGUCUGCUGGGAGAUGGAGACCAUUAGCCAAUCACAGGAGACCCAAAUCUGCUUGUUAUCUACAGAACUCAAAGUUGUCAAUACGUAGAGCAUCGACAUAGGGCACACAGCGGCCAGAAAGGUCCCUGCAGCACACCUUGCAGGAGUUGUCAGUUUCUGGAACAGAGAACACGCAUUGACAGCUGGAUUGUUCUGAGACCUGCCUCUCCUCCUGCCUCCUCUUUCCUCCCUGACCAUGCUCCCAAAGAGUAGAGACAGCGUUUUGCCAUGUUGACCAAGCUGCUCUCAAACUCCUGACCUCAAGUGAUCUGCCCACCUCGGCCUCCCAAAGUGAUGGGAUUACAGGUGUGAGUCACCACACCUGGCUCUCUGUCUAUUUUGAAAGCAAGAGAACUCCCUCAUCGACUCCCAUGGUUUAAGUGGGGUGGGAAGCAGAGUCCAGCCAGUCCCUGACCAGUCCAUGAGGAUGCCCUCAAACCCAGGGGUUCCAAAAUAGCACAGAAACCUAAGGAAAACUGACAGGCCAGCAGGAGAGAGGCUCCUGCCCCAGGCUGCUCUAAGAGAUCAGAGGGGAGCAGACCCAGCCUUCUUGAUAACUGCAAAAAUCCUCAUCUAGUGGGGUUAGGUCCUGGAAUCAGCUCUCUCUGGUGGAGUUGUUGCAGGAGUAUCCUAGUUCCAUGCCAAUGUAAUGUAGAUAGCUACUGCUGCUUUUGUGGUUUGUAUGAUAUGGAGCAGAGGAAGGCUAGGACACACCUCUACCUACCCACCCACUCACCCCCAACAAAAUUCCCUCCUCUCCCACCUCAAAGCCUGCCAUAUGGCCUGAAACUGCAGCAAGAAGAAACACCAACAGGAUAGGUCUCCCAGGUAUGGUGGAUCUGCAUGCAGAGAUGCCUGUCUCCAGACACCACCCUGCCCUUCCCCAUCCCCUCAUCCUCGGCUUGGAUCUCACCACUGCUGUCAUUCGCACAACCUCCAAAUGGAGGAAGGGAGCCUGGCAGACAAAGGCCAUGUUUUCUCCUGCUGCUGGACUGGGAAUAAAACUGCUCACCAUUACAUGCACAGGACUCCAGCUGCUGUUCCCUCUCGCAGAAAGGGAUGCAUUUCCCAUCCUUACACUUGCCAAGAUCCAAGCAAACAGUGUCAUCUUCAGCAUUUCCUGGAGGCGGGCACUCACUGCUAUUACCUGGAAGCAAACACCAGUCAUAACAAAAAGAAUGAGUCACAGGUCCACCAGUUCUACAGGUGCAUAAUACGCUGUUUCUCAUACAAGUGAGCAUCUUACCUUGCAAAAGCAAAAAGUGACCUACAGAGCUAGGACAAGAGCCUGCAUCUCACCAGCAAUCAGCAUUUAAAUGGGAGUGCCUGGCUAUGUGCCAGGCUAGGCUGCAUGAGUCCCUGGCCUCCCAAGCCCCAGUUAGAAUGCAUGGUCUCCACUUCUGCAUCUCACAGUCAUAUAUAAAAGAAUAUCCUAUGUGCUAUUACUUAGAAUAAAUUGCAAACUUUGUAUGAAGGCUUAAAAGAACUCCACGGCCUUCCCUAUCUGGCCCUGACUUCAUCGCACACAACUCUCCCACAGCCCACUGCUUUGGCUAUGACAACCUCCAUUCAGUUCCUUCAAUAUUAACAGAUACUAUUCCUUCUACCUGGAAUGCUGGUGUUUCCACUCUUUUGGGGCAAUUAGCUGGCUUUUCUUAUGGAUUAAGUUUUGUCUCAAAGGUUUUCUGAGAUAUCCCUGAGGAUGCUAAGUUGAUGUGGCCUCCCACUUCCAUUAUGCACUAUCACACUCCUUCUCUCCUUCAUUGCAUAUGUUUUGCAAUUUAUAUAUAUAUAUUUAAUGUUAUUUUCUGUUUUCCCUCUACUAGACUGGAAAGCCCCAUGACAGCAAUGAUCAAAUCUAUUAAGUUAUCUCCAAUCCCUAUCAUAUUAUAGGUAUACUACAAAUAUUUCUUAAAUAAAUCAAUUAUUCUUUUUAUUUUUCUUUUGAGACAGGGUCUCAGUCUGUCACCCAGGCUGGAAGGCAGGGGUGUGAUCAUAGCUUACUGCAGCCUCAAACUCCUAGGUUCCGGCAAUCCUCCUGCCUCAGCCUCACAAGUACCUAGGAUUUCAGGCGUACGCCACCAUACCUGGCUAAUUUUCUUUCUUUUUUUUUGAGAGACGAGAUCUCCCUGUGUUGACCAUGCUGGUGUAAAACUGCUGGGCUCAAGGGAUCCUCCCACCUUGGCCUUCCAAGUGCUGGAAUGAUAGGCAUGAGCCACUGUGCCCAGGCCAAUAAUGCCAAAGAAAACCCACCAAAGAAAGUUAAACUGGGAGAGACAGGAUGGAAUGAGUGAAUCAUUCUGGAAAAUGAAUAGCACAAGUAGCUAAAAGUCAACACAAAUAGAGGAGGAGAAAAAAAACACUUUAUGAAAGCAAUGGACUAUAUAUCCACAGCUCUGGACUGGCCUUUCAGCUGAAGAAUGAAGCCAAUCAAAAGAAUUCUGACUUAGAGGGUUUCAGAGCAGUAACACAAAAUGUACAGAAAAUCUGGCCAGUUUCAAACAAAAGUGAUGGUUUAUUAAGUACCCAACAGAUAACCAGGCACUUUGCCUCUGGUUCUCAUAAAACCUUUCAUGAGCACUGGGCAUUCAUCAUGUCAACAGUCAUUUAACAAACUAUUACUGAAAGUAUGAUGUCCAGUGAGCUCAGGGAAGGUUUAUAUUGUGGAUCAUUAUUGUAUUUUUGGUAUAUGAUACUGCCCUGAUACAUUAAAAAAUGCUCAAUAAAUAUCUGUUGAGCAUCUGUUCUUAAAAGACUAAAGUCAGAGUAUUAGACAGGUAGGAAAAUAAUUCUGAAAAUGGUAUCAUCUAUCUAGCAUGGUCCCCAAAGUUUAGCAUGCAUGGAAAUCACCUGACAGAAGGUUACACAGCACAGACUGCUGGCCUCCCUUCCCACAUUUUUUGAUGCAGUAGAUCCAGGGAGGGGACUGACAAUUUCCAUUUCUAAUAAGCUCCCAGGUGAUGCUGCUGCUGCUGGUUGUGAAAUGCUAAUUGCUUUUUUUCUUUCUUCUUCUUUUUUUUUUUUUUUUUUGAGGUUGUUGUUCUCUAGCUUUUCCUGCUAGAAAAUACUGAUUCCUUAUCAGGAACUUAUCCUCUGCUAUCUACUAUUUUGUAUAAAAUAUCAAGGGAACAAAAGGCUGUUUGAUAAGAACAAACGUUUUCAAAUUGUUUUACUUACGUUUAUUUAAAAGAAAGCAUUUUUCUCAAUCUAUUUUAUUAUUACAGUGAAGAUGAAACAUUGAGCAUAGCUAGCAAAUGCUUCUUUAAAGCUUGAUUUAGAUAUUCAGGUUCCUAACAUUUGUUUUUUUGGUUUUUUUUUGAGAUGGAGUCUUGCUCUGUUGCCCAGGCUGGAGUGCAGUGGCGUGAUCUCGGCUCACUGCAAGCUCCGCCUCCCGGGUUCACGCCAUUCUCCUGCCUCAGCCUCCCAAGUAGCUGGGACUACAGGCGCCCGCCACCACGCCCAGCUAAUUUUUUGUAUCUUUUAGUAGACACAGGGUUUCACCGUGUUAGCCAGGAUGGUCUCGAUCUCCUGAUCUCGUGAUCUGCCCACCUCGGCCUCCCAAAGUGCUAGGAUUACAGGUGUGAGCCACUGUGCCGGGCCAUCAGGUUCCUAACAUUUGGCAAAGUAAUGUGAUAGUGACAGAUCCCAAAAGAUAAAAACAUGGGCAACAUGUCAUACUAUGCACACGGAAAACCAAAAUCAAGCCAAAAUAGGACACAACUUCAUUCACUAGGUCCCUGAAGACCUCCAGCUUUCUGUUUGCAUCCUUAUCACAAAACCUAGGAUAGUUACAAUAAAAAAGAUAACAAGUGUUGGUGAGGAUAUGGAGAAGCUGGGACCCUCAUACAAUGCUGCUGAGACUGUAAAAUGGUGUAGCCAUUUUGGAAAACAGUCUGACAGCUCCUCAAAAGAUUAAGCAUAGUUACCACAUGACCCAGAAAUUCUAUUCCUGAAUAAUAUCCAAAGGAACUGUCCACACAAAAACUCAUAGAUAAAUGUUCACAGCAGCAUUAUUUGUUAUAGCAAAAAAGUGGAAGCAACCCAAAUGUCUAUCAACCAAUGAAUGAAUAAACAAAAUGUGGCAUAUCCAUGCAAUGGAAUUUACCCAGCAAUAAAAGUACAUGAAGUACUGAUACAUGCUACAACAUACAUGAACCUUAAAAAUGCUAUGUUCAGUGAAAGAAGCCAGUCAUACAAUAUGUGGUCACGAAACCAUAUUGUAUAAUUCCAUUUAUAUGAAAUGUUCAAAACAGACAACUCCAUAAAGAAUAGGGUGGUUAGUGGUUGCUCUGAGUUGUGGGGAAUGGGGGGAUUGGAGGAUCAUAGCUAAAGGAUACAGGGUUUCUUUCUGGAGUAAUGUAAAUGUUCUAAAAUUAAUUGUGAUGACUGCAUAAAUCUGAAUAUACUAAAAAUCAUUAAACUGUACACUUUAAAUGGGCAAA